UACGUAGGUGGCAAGCGUUGUCCGGAUUUACUGGGUGUAAAGGGCGUGCAGCCGGAGAGACAAGUCAGAUGUGAAAUCCGCAGGCUCAACCUGCGAACUGCAUUUGAAACUGUUUCCCUUGAGUAUCGGAGAGGUCAUCGGAAUUCCUAGUGUAGCGGUGAAAUGCGUAGAUAUUAGGAAGAACACCAGUGGCGAAGGCGGAUGACUGGACGACAACUGACGGUGAGGCGCGAAAGCGUGGGGAGCAA
rnacentral:rRNA from 1 species